rnacentral:rRNA from 1 species
AACGAACGCUGGCGGCAUGCCUAACACAUGCAAGUCGAACGAGACCUUCGGGUCUAGUGGCGCACGGGUGCGUAACGCGUGGGAACCUGCCUUUAGGUUCGGAAUAACUCAGAGAAAUUUGAGCUAAUACCGGAUGAUGUCUUCGGACCAAAGAUUUAUCGCCUUUAGAUGGGCCCGCGUUGGAUUAGCUAGUUGGUGGGGUAAAGGCCUACCAAGGCGACGAUCCAUAGCUGGUCUGAGAGGAUGAUCAGCCACACUGGGACUGAGACACGGCCCAGACUCCUACGGGAGGCAGCAGUGGGGAAUAUUGGACAAUGGGCGAAAGCCUGAUCCAGCAAUGCCGCGUGAGUGAUGAAGGCCUUAGGGUUGUAAAGCUCUUUUACCCGAGAUAAUAAUGACAGUAUCGGGAGAAUAAGCUCCGGCUAACUCCGUGCCAGCAGCCGCGGUAACAC